rnacentral:rRNA from 1 species
GGGUUGUGAGGUUAAGUGACUAAGCGUACACGGUGGAUGCCUAGGCAGUCAGAGGCGAUGAAGGGCGUGCUAAUCUGCGAAAAGCGUCGGCAAGGUGAUAUGAACCGUUAUACCCGACGAUACCCGAAUGGGGAAACCCAGUGCAAUCCGUUGCACUAUCAUGUCAUGAAUACAUAGUGGCAUGAGGCGAACCGGGGGAACUGAAACAUCUCAGUACCCCGAGGAAAAGAAAUCAACCGAGAUUCCCCCAGUAGCGGCGAGCGAACGGGGAGGAGCCCAGAACCUGAAUCAGUUUGAGUCUUAGUGGAAGCGUCUGGAAAGUCGCACGACAGAGGGUGAUAGUCCCGUACACGAAGAGGCAUGAGCUGUGAGUUCGAUGAGUAGGGCGGGACACGUGUUAUCCUGUCUGAAUAUGGGGGGACCAUCCUCCAAGGCUAAAUACUCCUGACUGACCGAUAGUGAACCAGUACCGUGAGGGAAAGGCGAAAAGAACCCCGGCGAGGGGAGUGAAAUAGAACCUGAAACCGUGUACGUACAAGCAGUGGGAGCAUCCUUCGGGGUGUGACUGCGUACCUUUUGUAUAAUGGGUCAGCGACUUAUAUUCUGUAGCAAGGUUAACCGCAUAGGGGAGCCGCAGGGAAACCGAGUCUUAACUGGGCGUUAAGUUGCAGGGUAUAGACCCGAAACCCGGUGAUCUAGCCAUGGGCAGGUUGAAGGUUGGGUAACACUAACUGGAGGACCGAACCGACUAAUGUUGAAAAAUUAGCGGAUGACUUGUGGCUGGGGGUGAAAGGCCAAUCAAACCGGGAGAUAGCUGGUUCUCCCCGAAAGCUAUUUAGGUAGCGCCUCGUGAAGUCAUCUUCGGGGGUAGAGCACUGUUUCGACUAGGGGGCCAUCCCGGCUUACCAACUCGAUGCAAACUGCGAAUACCGAAGAAUGUUAUCACGGGAGACACACGGCGGGUGCUAACGUCCGUCGUGAAGAGGGAAACAACCCAGACCGCCAGCUAAGGUCCCAAAGUCAUGGUUAAGUGGGAAACGAUGUGGGAAGGCCCAGACAGCCAGGAUGUUGGCUUAGAAGCAGCCAUCAUUUAAAGAAAGCGUAAUAGCUCACUGGUCGAGUCGGCCUGCGCGGAAGAUGUAACGGGGCUAAACCAUGCACCGAAGCUGCGGCAGCGACGCUUAGGCGUUGUUGGGUAGGGGAGCGUUCUGUAAGCCUGCGAAGGUGGCCUGUGAGGGCUGCUGGAGGUAUCAGAAGUGCGAAUGCUGACAUAAGUAACGAUAAUGCGGGUGAAAAACCCGCACGCCGGAAGACCAAGGGUUCCUGUCCAACGUUAAUCGGGGCAGGGUGAGUCGACCCCUAAGGCGAGGCCGAAAGGCGUAGUCGAUGGGAAACAGGUUAAUAUUCCUGUACUUGGUGUUACUGCGAAGGGGGGACGGAGAAGGCUGGGUUAUCCGGGCGACGGUUGUCCCGGUUUAAGCGUGUAGGUGGGUGUUUUUGGUAAAUCCGGAACACCGUUAACACUGAGGCGUGACGACGAGUCACUACGGUGAUGAAGUAACCGAUGCCAAGCUUCCAGGAAAAGCCUCUAAGCUCCAGGUAACACGAAAUC